UUCACCUGCAUGUGGUGACUCGUGCUCAGUCAUCUCUAACUUACCUGUCUGCUGCUCAGUAGGCCAAACUAAGCAGGUCGGUCUCCCCACCAACCGUCUAACGUCUCCCAGGUACGGUGAUGUAGGCUAUACUUUAGGAGUUUAACCAGAACUUGGUUGGAGUUUCCCGGUUUUGUGUGACAAAUGACAGUUCUUGUAACGAACGCUUUUCGAAGUAAAACGGACCACCACAUCUGGACCUGCUGUCAAAGAGGAGAAAGUGAUUCUGUGAGUAUCAAAACUGAACCAUGAAGAAGAAACUGCGAACUGUAAGUCCUUAUAUUUCCUCUUUAUGCUGGGGCAUUGUUUUGGCCUCCUCGUUGGCUGAGGUGGAAAGGUGAAUGAUUUUAAAUAAUGUUUUUUGUUGGUACGUGGGCUAAUUACCUGUUUAGUUUGAACAUGUGUCAAUGCUGUGUUAGAAGGGGUGUAGUAUAGGUUCCAAGUGAAUUGUGAGAAUAGUAACAUAGGGUUUCUCAGAGUGCAGCCAAAACAUACUCCAAGGUUUUGUCUAGAUUUUCUUUCGACAUGCUUCGCCACUACUUCCUGAACUUUGCAUCACGUCACAUGAGUUACCGUACUGAUGAGGGUUCAGAUUGAGUGAUCAGAGAUGCAUGCUAGGGUUCUGCGCUGUCUGAAGCCUCCAGCUCUGUAGACUUGCCCCCUUCAGGUGAAGGCAUGUGUCUAAGAGGUGGUUGUGAAGUCAUUUACAUGAACUGGGAUGUCAUUCAAGAUGGUGACAGGGUCUCACCUAAAGGAGAAACGCCCGGGGAUGAGAGGUGAGGGCUCUUCCUCAACGACUAGAACACCACCUCGGUCCUUCGCUAGAGAACCAUGGAGCACAUUUCAACGUUGCCCACCAUACAUCUUGAAGCUGUAGCUACGGUUUCUCUACCUCCGCAGCUGGAGUAGAGCACAGCUGCAGUCACGAAAAGGGUCCUUGGUGGGAUCUUACCGCGAUAGGUUCUGAUUUAAGAGGACCGAACUUCCAGGACCAGCUGGCCUCCUCCAUUACUCUGCAGUUCAGCCUGAGAAAGGCUUGCAUCUGAGCCAGCAGAGGGCUCAUCGGCCUGCUGUUCAUAUGGGAUGAGGAGAAUCCUACUGUAAAGACCUACCAACCAAUCCCUGCUCUGUUCAAGGUCUGGUCCGUUCAUGACCUACCUACCAACUACUGGGACGUCCGAUACCUACCAACUACUGGGACGUCCGAUACCUACCAACUACUGGGAUGUCUGAAACCUACCAGCUACUGGGAUGUCUGAAACCUACCAGCUACUGGGAUGUCUGAAACCUACCAGCUACUGGGAUGUCUGAAACCUACCAACUACUGGGAUGUCUGAAACCUACCAACUACUGGGAUGUCUGAAACCUACCAGCUACUGGGAUGUCUGAAACCUACCAGCUACUGGGAUGUCCGAUACCUACCAUCCCACCACUGGGGUGACCUAAUCAGAUUACCUUCUCACCACUUCCAUCAAAUCCCGUCCCUGUUCUCAGGCUCAUCAAAGCGGAAGAGUUUGAGUCUGAAGGAAAACAACUGGACUGCCUGUGGCUCUUCAGGUGGGCAUGGCGAGGGUUCUACCUUGCCUGGUUGUUCAUGAGGUCAGGGUUUUACCUGGCCUGGUUGUUCAUGCGGUCAGGGUUCUACCUGGCCUGGUUGUUCAUGCGGUCAGGGUUCUACCUGGCCUGGUUGUUCAUGCGGUCAGGGUUCUGCCUGGCCUGGUUCUUCAUGUGGUCAGGGUUCUGCCUGGCCUGGUUGUUCAUGCGGUCAGGGUUCUGCCUGGCCUGGUUCUUCAUGUGGUCAGGGUUCUGCCUGGCCUGGUUGUUCAUGCGGUCAGGGUUCUGCCUGGCCUGGUUCUUCAUGUGGUCAGGGUUCUACCUGGCCUGGUUGUUCAUGCGGUCAGGGUUCUGCUUGGCCUGGUUGUUCAUGUGGUCAGGGUUCUACCUGGCCUGGUUCUUCAUGUGGUCAGGGUUCUACCUGGCCUGGUUCUUCAUGUGGUCAGGGUUCUACCUGGCCUGGUUGUUCAUGCGGUCAGGGUUCUGCUUGGCUUGGUUGUUCAUGUGGUCAGGGUUCUACCUGGCCUGGUUGUUCAUGUGGUCAGGGUUCUGCCUGGCCUGGUUCUUCAUGUGGUCAGGGUUCUGCCUGGCCUGGUUCUUCAUGUGGUCAGGGUUCUACCUGGCCUGGUUCUUCAUGUGGUCAGGGUUCUACCUGGUUCGGUUGUUCAUGUAGUCGGGGUUCUACCUGGCCUGGGGUUCUUCAUCCGGGCGUGAUCAGGGUGACGAGGCAUACCAUGUGUGAGCGUGAUGACAUGGGGAUACGCACUUAUUAAACAUCACAACAUUUUAGGAAAUGGUCCUUCAAGCUUGAAAGACGGCGACGUGGCUGUCCUUUCUAGCCCCGACAUGAUAGUUGGCUGGCAGGCCCUGUGGAUUGUAUCUUCUGGACUCCUGUGCUGGGAUGCAAGUUUUUCUUGGGCUGAAUUGCAAUGCAUUUGUCGAUGCUAGCUGGACCUGGGAGUUGGGUCCCCCUUUGAAUCAGAAACCAUCUUGGUAACAUCCCAACUACGGUUCUCUUCAUGCUGUAACCAAGCUCUUCUUCAGCUGAGGAGGAAAAUAAAUCCUCGCUGGGGCUUCAAGAUCUAUGAAGAGGAAUAUUGAAAUGUGUGCAAUGGUUCCCUCCCGUAGGCGCUGUGGUGUAUUCUAGUCACUGAGAAAGAGCCCUCGCAUCCUACCCAUGGCGUCUCUCCUUGGGGAGUCCCUGUCACAGUCUUGACGGAUGUUACAGGUCAUGUAACUGAUGCAACAGCCCUUUUGAACACUGUUUCUCCGGAGGGGGGCACGUCUACAGAACAGUAGAUUUCAGACAGCACAGUAUCCUAACAUGCAUCUCUGGCCACUCAGACCACACCCGGAUCAAUAUGACAAUGCUCAUGCGAUGUGAAGCGAGGAAGUAGCCAAAAGACAGAUUAGUUAGCUUUUUUUGUACACUGGCAAGCAUUGUUCAUUGGUAGAUAAUUAGUUAAAUGGGGUAACUGAAAUGUUUAGUCAAAAUGUUUUGUACAUAAACCAACAGCAACAAACUACCAGAUCGCCUCAAGGUAAGUCUGUUGGCUGUAUUUUGCAAUGAGACGACCACAAGAUCUAUCGUCGUUCAGCUCAAGGUGAGGUGCUGGUUACGUUACUUAGGGAUGGUUCGUACUGGAACGUUACGAUUCCAGUAUGACGGGGCUUGGGGUUUCUGUAGAGGUUGGUAGUUAGUUUUGUGCAGUCUGUGAAGCUCUAAUGCUGCAGCACUGUGUGGUGGAGGAUAACUGGCAGUACGAACAGGAUUGGCAAUUGCGUUACGUCAUCCACACCUUAUUAUGGCGUCUGGCAGUACGAUCAGGAUUGGCAUUUGCGUAAACCUCAUAACUAAUGAGCGUACCCAAUUAAGGUAAUCUGGCAGUGCCCCAUUUCUAUAGGUAACCAUCUGCGAUUAUUGGUAAAUCCUUAUGCACUAGAAAUUAGGAAGGGCACUCUUAAAAUAUAUAUAUUUUUAAUUAUCCCACAAAAUACUGCAAACUACUUUGAUAACUGCGCUCUACAAUCAACUCUCGAUUUUCUGCGCAUUAAUUUAUCGGGUCGCGUAAAAGAUGGAGACGACGGCAUUUACCUACUACGGCUUUUUAUUUCUUCAACAACCCAGCAGCUGAAUGUGGCUAAGUAUAAUUUUACUAUCUAAAUUACUAUUGAUAUUGCUAGUGUUCUAAAUAUCUGGGCUGUGAUCUGCUCAAUAUAGUUUCUGCUAGACUUCAGAAACAAAAGGAAGGGUUAAAUGUAAGUGUGCUUAUUCACGUAUUAUCAAAUGGUAUAGCUGUUUAGAAAAGUAAAGUUAAUUGUUGCGCAAAUGCUACCAUAAACCUUUGACUUUUGAAUAAAUCAAACUAAGCACAAGGCAACUAAGAUACGUGGUGACCAAGAACUCUUAUAUUGAUGUUCAGUUUAUUAUUGGUGAGGCAGUGAUGUAGAGCGCGUCGUGGUGUUUUUAAAUGGAUGAAUGUUGUGCUAACAGACGGGGGAAACUCCAGGCCUUGCAGUCCUGAUCCUGUAUGAUGCAGAAGAUGUCAAUCCAACCGCACAUGUCAGGACGCGUUGGUGGAGGAGGAGGACUGAUGGAGGAGAGCCGACGGCGCCAUGGUGGACGAGAGCCGACGGCGCCAUGGUGGACGAGAGCCGACGGAGCCAUGGUGGACGGAGGCCCUGCCUUAAGAAUGAUGUCGGGACCCGAUGCCCUUGGCUGAUGGAGGAACUGCAUCUGGAGGACGACCAUGAAUCUACCUGCCAACAGGUGGUAUUGGUUUGCACUGGUUUGCAUGAACUGAACAUGGUGGACAUGAGGCAAAUUCCCUGCUGUUUGCCCCAGACCAGAACUCUGUGAUGGAGGGGGGCUGAUGGAGCCAUGCUGAGGACCUGCUGGUGAAGGACGUCCCUCGGUGGGGGGGCAAGGACAGCCGACCCUGAGGAUCCGCUCGGAUCUACGAUCGCUACGAUGCGACUGCAGAGGUCUCUGGAAGACCAGGAGUCCUUGCCUGAGGAGAGCUGAUGGAGGAGCCGUGCACCUGGAGAACCAUGAGUCUGCCUGCCAACAAGUAGUACUGGAAGGCGGGGCAUAGGGAGGUGAUGGAGGACCUGCCUGGUGAAGGACGUCAGGGUGGGGCGAGUGACACCCGACUCCAAGGGGAUAUCCACUGAGGAGAGAGCUGAAGGAGCCAUGCAUCUGGAAGUUGAAAUGCUGUGUCCAGUCUGGGACAGACAGACCUGAGCUGCAUCAAACCUGUAUCUCUGACCAGCUGGAGGCCUUUAGUGAUCAACAACCGCCACUCAUCGCUGGCCUGUGGAUUCAUCUCCUCCACACUCACACAACGUGACCUUGGCCUGUGGAUUCAUCUACUCCACACUCACACAAAAGGAAUUUGGCCUGUGGAUUCAUCUCCUCCACACUCACGCAACGUGACCUUCUCACCAUCUGUUGCACGUUUGGAUGCACCUAGCGUGUUCCAUUGAGGGUUCCUUCCUCCCCACAGUGGGAGGGUUCCUUGUCCUUCAAGGCGUCGGGGUUCAGUGUUAGGGACAGAGUUAGGGACAGAUGGCUGCGCUGGAUUCACGAUACACGCUUUGUGAUCAAAAUGGGUUCGGACAUCGGACAAAAGGCUUCCCAAAAUGUUUCAAUGUGCAAACGAUUUUAUAAAAUGUAUACUCAUGGUGUUUAUAUAAAAUCGUAUAUA